AUUGAACGCUGGCGGCAGGCCUAACACAUGCAAGUCGAACGGUAACAGGAAGCUGCUUGCUGCUUCGCUGACGAGUGGCGGACGGGUGAGUAAUGUCUGGGAAGCUGCCUGAUGGAGUGGGAUAACUACUGGAAACGGUAGCUAAUACCGCAUAAUGUCGCAAGACCAAAGAGGGGGACCUUCGGGCCUCUUGCCAUCGGAUGUGCCCAGAUGGGAUUAGCUUGUUGGUGGGGUAACGGCUCACCAAGGCGACGAUCCCUAGCUGGUCUGAGAGGAUGACCAGCCACACUGGAACUGAGACGCGGUCCAGACUCCUACGGGAGGCAGCAGUGGGGAAUAUUGCACAAUGGGCGCAAGCCUGAUGCAGCCAUGCCGCGUGUAUGAAGAAGGCCUUCGGGUUGUAAAGUACUUUCAGCGGGGAGGAAGGGAGUAAAGUUAAUACCUUUGCUCAUUGACGUUACCCGCAGAAGAAGCACCGGCUAACUCCGUG
rnacentral:rRNA from 1 species